rnacentral:pre_miRNA from 1 species
AACAGUGGCUUUGCAAAACCAUUUUUGACACGUGAUCAAUUAUAAUUCGUCCACGUCAUUAAUUUUUUAAAUUAAAAAAAUCAUAAUUCUGAACUUGAAUUAAAUUUUUUUAAUUUAAAAAAUUGAUUACGUGGCCGAAUUAUAAUUGGCCACGUGUCAAAAAUGGUUUUGCAAAAUCAUUGUU